rnacentral:lncRNA from 1 species
GCUAGAUAUUUACGUUCAGAGGGAGCCGCCCUUCAUUCACCCACAUGGUCGCCUUCGCGCCACUUUCCUAAACCCGCAAUCAUUCCACACGCAGCGCAUCUGGGUCACAAACGGACUCCAGGACUCGACUCAGCUCAACGGAGGCUUGAUCUUUUCGCCACCAGCCAGAAACUUUUUAAGGCAGUAGUGUUUUUUCCCGUCUCUUUUGUGGCUGUAAGACUGCACGGCAGCCCCAAGCAAGUGAGCGAAGAUGGUGGAUUUCGGCUGAUCUGCAAGAAUUACACCAACCCCACCCAGUGUCCAUCUUUCUCCUUGUUGUCCUGACCCUGUUUGUGUAUUGUCAAAGUGCUUACAGUGCAGGUAGUACUAUGCAAUACCUACUGCAGUGGAGGCACUUAAAGCAAUACUCUGACACUGGUGUGCACGUUUUCAGAGAUUGACUGUUUUUCAAUUGGUGUACUGUCUUUGUGCUAAGGUGCAUCUAGUGCAGAUAGUGAAAUAGACUAGCACCUACUGCCCUAAGUGCUCCUUCUGGCAUAAGGGGCUGUGAUAUGCGCCACCAGACAAGAGUUUAAUUUCCAAUUGGGCACAAAAAUCUUGCAGUUCUCUGCUAGUUUUGCAUAGUUGCAUUACAAGAAUAGAUGAGUUGUGCAAAUCUAUGCAAAACUGAUGGUGGUCUGCUUGCUCUCCACCUGUUUGCAGACAUUUUUGCUUUUGAGGGUGUCCCAUGAUUAAACACAACCCUAUUGUUGCACAAUAUUAAGUUAAGCCAAGUGUUUUCCAGCUGCCAUCCAGAGACCUCAGUUUGAGCAGUACUAAAGUGCUUAUAGUGCAGGUAGUGUUUUCUCCCUAUCUACUGCAAUGUAAGCACUUGAAUUACUUCCAACUGCAUAAAUACUUGGACACAGACAGUCACCAGAAUGAUCAGCUAAUCAUCGCUCGGUCCGUUUUGCUGGUUUGCAUCCAGCUUUAACACGUUUGCUGUGCAAAUCCAUGCAAAACUGACGGGGUAAUGGCUUAUGACACACGGAGGAAGAUUGGAUUGUUUGUGUUUAUUUUUUUGCCUCGAUGAUGGGGCUUAUGCUAAUUUGGAUGUUAUGAGUUGUCCCUUUCUGCACAGGUGGGGAUUGGUAGCAAUGCUGUGUAGCUGAAGGUAUUGCACUUGUCCCGGCCUGUUAAGAAAAGAGGAGUAAACGCUGACCAGGAUCUUGAUUCAAAUCUUUACUUAAAAUCAUCCUUUUCUUUCGCAGCUUGCGUUGACCAUGUUUGAUAGUCCAAUGUUGUGAUUUGUAAUUAUGAGCAUGUAUGUUACAUUUUUAAAUAUAAAUAUAUAUAUGUAUUAAUGUAAAUUAUGCUUGUGUGUACAGUUACUUUUUUAAUGUAAUAAAUAUUGUGCUAACAUGUAUUUGUGCCCUGAA